UACGACCGGCCGGAGACGUACGUCCCCGGCCACAAGUGGAGGCUCCGAUCUCCCACCCGACCACCCUCCGGGGCGGCGGGUCACCGGUCAGGCGGCAUCCAUCGUUCCGUACGGACGAUGGAAAGCUGCCCGAGUCUGCGCCCCGCGGUUCGCACGCGGCGGUGCUCCGGUCGUUUUUGGAGCCCCUGCCUGUGCCCGGCGGGGCUUUUUUC
rnacentral:ncRNA from 1 species